UCAACAACAACAAGGGCAUUCCCUCCGACCGCUGCUUCAUAUCGGCGAUGCCGGGUUCCUUCUACGGCAGGCUCUUUCCCAUCAACUCUUUGCAUUUUGUGCACUCUUCUUCCAGCCUUCACUGGCUCUCUCAGGUACCAGUGGGUCUGGAUCACAACUCAGGAAAACAUCUCAAUAAAGGCAAGAUUUACAUAUCGAAAACCAGCCCCGAAUGUGUGGUGAAAGCGUACCUCCGCCAGUUUGAGAAGGAUAUGUUUGUGUUUCUGCGCUCGCGGGCGGCGGAGGUGGUGCCCGGAGGGACGAUGGUGCUGUCAUUUAUGGGCCGCGCCUCG
rnacentral:lncRNA from 1 species